rnacentral:rRNA from 1 species
UCCUACGGGGCGCAGCAGUGGGGAAUAUUGCACAAUGGGGGGAAACCCUGAUGCAGCGACGCCGCGUGAAGGAAGAAGUAUUUCGGUAUGUAAACUUCUAUCAGCAGGGAAGAAAAUGACGGUACCUGACUAAGAAGCCCCGGCUAACUACGGGCCAGCAGCCGCGGUAAUACGUAGGGGGCAAGCGUUAUCCGGAUUUACUGGGUGUAAAGGGAGCGAAGGCGGUUUAGCAAGUCAGAAGUGAAAGCCCGGGGCUCA